rnacentral:lncRNA from 1 species
CACGUCGCCCGCCCUAGUCUGCUUUUGUGAAUCUCCACUUUGUUCAACCCCCACCCGCCGUCUCUCCCUCCCUGCGCCUUCCCUCUAACCUUAAAGACCCAGCUACCUCUACGCAAAUGGUAGCUACCUCUGCGCAGGUGGAAGUUGAGUUCGGUUCACGCGGGACCCUCUUCCCUGUGGCAAGCUGCUGAAGGAGACCUGCUGUUACUGCUUUAGCUGCUGUUCUGCUUAAUCUCAGACAGCUGGAAGGUAGUAUUCCGCCCUCGCCCAGCCACCCGAGUAAAUGAGAAUGAUGACUGACUGAGACCCUGAUGGUGGUGGCUUAGGCUUAAUCUCAGACAGCUGGAAGGUAGUAUUCCGCCCUCACCCAGCCACCCGAGUAAAUGAGAAUGAUGACUGACUGAGACCCUGAUGGUGGUGGCUUAGGCAAGAUGAACGUCUGAAAUGGAGGCCCAGGGCUGCCACGAUGGCUCUGUAGUCAUCAGGGAGGGAGCUCCUUUUAUCUUGUUACCUACUCCCCUCUUGUGCCCCUUUCUUCCCUUGAUCUAAGAAGGUUGCUCCGGAUCUCGCCAUCUGGCCUGCGUUCAAUCAGCAGAAGCUUCCUGGAGGAGCAGGAGGAGGCACUGUGCUCGCAUCACAUACCAGUGGCCAGAAGUUGGCUUCAGGGAAGCUCAGGAAAUAGGAUGCGAGAAGCCAUGAGACCUCCCCAAACUCUGCAGUAACAGAGUCAACAAGACAAUGGCUUAAAGAUGGAGAGACCAGUUGAUCGGUCACACAAGCUGUUCCACGAUAAUUCUUGUGUCAGAAGGGGAGGCUGACUACCAGGACCACUGGCCCCACUUCCAGCCCCUCCAUUCUGAGUACACUUCAGAGGGCUCUGGCAGGGUGAGGGGGUCUUGGUGGUGCCACAGAGAGUAAAGGUCUAGCACACCCAUUGUGGAGAUAUUUCAUGGGGACAACCCAGUGACUUCACUUGAAGUAAAGUGGGAUUUUCCAACCUUGAGAUUCUUAUUUUCUUUGCACGUGCCCAGCUUCCUUUCAAGUCUCUGGCCAAUGCAAUGUGAGCAGAAGUGAAGGGGCAACUUUCAGUGGCUUAGACAGUGGCCUAACUAGAAGACCAAGGCUCAAAGGAACACAUUUUGAGCUUCUCCACAGUUUGAGAACCUCUACAUUACCUACACCAAGCCUUCCCCAGCACUCAAUUUAUGGAAGACCAUUUCUCUUCUCAUGACACAUGUCCUCAUGUUGCUUUGGCCUGUUUUAAAGCUUUCUCAACUCCAUCUCAAUAAAGAAAUCUGCAGCUUUGUUGGAUGAGAGGAUCUAAAAAGUUCGUUCUUCCAAUCGGUUGUAAAUAUAGACACUAAUUUAUAAACUGACACAGGAACACACAGCAAAUUAGUAGAAAAUCCGAUUCCUGUUCCCUUUUCUCCUUGCAUUGUUUCCUGCCAAUGCUCACCAUUUCUUUAUCCUUUCCACUCUUCCUUGCUCCUCCUUCCCUUUAAUUUUUCUCUGUUGUGCCUAAAUAAGCUGUCCAUGCAUGGCACUCCAUGGGCUCUGAUAACAGACUCAACAAGACAAUGACUUAAAGAUGGAGUGACCAGCUGAUCAGUCACACAAGUUGUUCCAGUGUAAUUAUUUUCACAGGUGUCUCAGUUUGGAUGAUA